GAUGAACGCUGGCGGCGUGCCUAAUACAUGCAAGUCGAGCGAACAGACGAGGAGCUUGCUCCUCUGACGUUAGCGGCGGACGGGUGAGUAACACGUGGAUAACCUACCUAUAAGACUGGGAUAACUUCGGGAAACCGGAGCUAAUACCGGAUAAUAUAUUGAACCGCAUGGUUCAAUAGUGAAAGACGGUUUUGCUGUCACUUAUAGAUGGAUCCGCGCCGCAUUAGCUAGUUGGUAAGGUAACAGCUUACCAAGGCAACGAUGCGUAGCCGACCUGAGAGGGGGAUAGGCCACACGGGAACUGAGACACGGUCAAGACUCCUACGGGAGGCAGCAGUAGGGAAUCUUCCGCAAUGGGCGAAAGCAUGACGGAGCAAGGCCGCGUGAGUGAUAAAGGUCUUCGGAUCGUAAAAAUCUGUUAUUAGGGAAGAACAAAUGUGUAAGUAACUAUGCACGUCUUGACGGUACCUAAUCAGAAAGCCACGGCUAACUACGUG
rnacentral:rRNA from 1 species